GCACUCGCGCUGCCCUCCGAAGGCAGAGGCCACAGGUUCGAAUCCUGUCGGGUGCG
rnacentral:tRNA from 1 species